AGGACGAACGCUGGCGGCGCGCUUAAUACAUGCAAGUCGAGCGAGAACCAGGGCUUCGGCCCUGGGGACAGCGGCGAACGGGUGAGUAACACGUGGGUAAUCAACCCCCGACACCGGGAUAGCCCAGGGAAACUUGGAUUAAUACCGGAUGCUCCAUCUGGCUUUCGAGCCGGCUGGAAAAGGGUAGCUUCGGCCUCCGGUCGGGGACGAGCCCGCGGCGGAUUAGCUUGUUGGUGAGGUAAAGGCUCACCAAGGCGACGAUCCGUAGCUGGUCUGAGAGGACGAUCAGCCACACUGGGACUGAGACACGGCCCAGACUCCUACGGGAGGCAGCAGUAGGGAAUCUUGCGCAAUGGGCGAAAGCCUGACGCAGCGACGCCGCGUGAGGGAAGAAGGCCUUCGGGUUGUAAACCUCUUUCAGGAGGGACGAAGCCACUCGGGUUAAUAGCCCAGAGGGUGACGGUACCUCCAGAAGAAGCCCCGGCUAACACGUGCCAGCAGCCGCGGU
rnacentral:rRNA from 1 species